AUACGUGAGUGACCUACCUUUGACUCUGGGAUAAGCCUGGGAAACUGGGUCUAAUACCGGAUACGACCAAUCUCCGCAUGGGGUGUUGGUGGAAAGCGUUAUGGAGUGGUUUUAGAUGGGCUCACGGCCUAUCAGCUUGUUGGUGAGGUAAUGGCUUACCAAGGCGACGACGGGUAGCCGGCCUGAGAGGGUGACCGGCCACACUGGGACUGAGACACGGCCCAGACUCCUACGGGAGGCAGCAGUGGGGAAUAUUGCACAAUGGGCGCAAGCCUGAUGCAGCGACGCCGCGUGAGGGAUGACGGCCUUCGGGUUGUAAACCUCUGUUAGCAUCGAAGAAGCGAAAGUGACGGUAGGUGCAGAGAAAGCGCCGGCUAACUACGUGCCAGCAGCCGCGGUAAUACGUAGGGCGCGAGCGUUGUCCGGAAUUAUUGGGCGUAAAGAGCUUGUAGGCGGUUGGUCGCGUCUGCUGUGAAAGGCUGGGGCUUAACCCUGGUUUUGCAGUGGGUACGGGCUAACUAGAGUGCAGUAGGGGAGACUGGAAUUCCUGGUGUAGCGGUGGAAUGCGCAGAUAUCAGGAGGAACACCGAUGGCGAAGGCAGGUCUCUGGGCUGUAACUGACGCUGAGAAGCGAAAGCAUGGGGAGCGAACAGGAUUAGAUACCCUGGUAGUCCAUGCCGUAAACGUUGGGCACUAGGUGUGGGGGGCAUUCCACGUUUUCCGCGCCGUAGCUAACGCAUUAAGUGCCCCGC
rnacentral:rRNA from 1 species